UGAGCUGCGUGCUACAGCGAGGCUAAGCUAGUGGGGGCAAAGUUUCAGUGCAUUCCGUUGAUGUAGACGGCGUGAAAACGGAAACAAGAAGUAUGCCGGCUCACUGUGCUGCAUACAAUUACACACUGUGUCGUACGAUUGAGACAAGGAAACAUGGAAUGACUUUUCAUAGGUUUCCCAGAGACUAUGGGUUGAGGAGGAAUUGGAAGUUUGUUGGCUUAGACCUGGUGUCAUUCCAUCAGUGUUAAACUUCCCAGCUCAUCCUGGAAGAGUACGUGCCAGAAAGACCACGACCAAGCAGCCUUGAGAUCUUAGGCAGCGUCUCACUGAGACCAAAGAACUACAGACUCUUCACAACCUGCUCAAACUCUUGGUACAGGACCUCAC
ensembl:lncRNA